rnacentral:rRNA from 1 species
CCUACGGGUGGCAGCAGUGAGGAAUAUUGGUCAAUGGACGAGAGUCUGAACCAGCCAAGUAGCGUGAAGGAUGACUGCCCUCUGGGUUGUAAACUUCUUUUAUAUGGGAAUAAAAUGUUCCACGUGUGGGAUUUUGUAUGUACCAUAUGAAUAAGGAUCGGCUAACUCCGUGCCAGCCGCCGCGGUAAUACGGAGGAUCCGAGCGUUAUCCGGAUUUAUUGGGUUUAAAGGGAGCGUAGGUGGAUUGUUAAGUCAGUUGGGAAAGUUUGCGGCUCAACCGUAAAAUUGCAGUUGAAACUGGCAGGCUUGAGUACAGUAGAGGUGGGCGGAAUUCGUGGUGUAGCGGUGAAAUGCUUAGAGAUCACGAAGAAUUCCGAUUGCGUAGGCAGUUCACUGGACUGCAACUGACACUGAGGCUCGAAAGUGUGGGUAUCAAACAGGAUUAGAUACCCCAGUAGUC